AGGGAAUUUUCGGCAAUGGGGGGAACCCUGACCGAGCAACGCCGCGUGAAGGAAGAAGGUUUUCGGAUUGUAAACUUCUGUUAUAAGGGAAGAACGGAUUGGAUAGGGAAUGAUCUGAUAGUGACGGUACCUUAUGAGAAAGCCACGGCUAACUACGUGCCAGCAGCCGCGGUAAUACGUAGGUGGCAAGCGUUAUCCGGAAUUAUUGGGCGUAAAGAGUGAGCAGGCGGUUUAUAAAGUUCGGAGUUAAAAUACAGUUGCUUAACGACUGUUAGCUUUGAAAACUAAUAGACUAGAGUGCAGUAGAGGUUAGCGGAAUUCCAUGUGUAGCGGUGAAAUGCGUAGAUAUAUGGAGGAACAUCAGUGGCGAAGGCGGCUAACUGGGCUGUAACUGACGCUCAUUCACGAAAGCGUGGGGAGCAAAUA
rnacentral:rRNA from 1 species